rnacentral:rRNA from 1 species
UACGUAGGGGGCAAGCGUUGUCCGGAUUUAUUGGGCGUAAAGAGCGUGUAGGCGGCCAGAUAGGUCCGUUGUGAAAACUGGAGGCUUAACCUCCAGCUGUCGAUGGAAACCAUCUGGCUAGAGUCCGGAAGAGGAGAGUGGAAUUCCUGGUGUAGCGGUGAAAUGCGCAGAUAUCAGGAAGAACACCAAUGGCGAAGGCAGCUCUCUGGGACGGUACUGACGCUGAGACGCGAAAGCGUGGGGAGCGAACAGG